rnacentral:rRNA from 1 species
UACGUAGGGUGCAAGCGUUACUCGGAAUUACUGGGCGUAAAGCGUGCGCAGGCGGUUUCGUAAGUCUGUCGUGAAAUCCCCGGGCUUAACCUGGGAAUGGCGAUGGAGACUGCGAGGCUAGAGUUUGGCAGAGGGGGGUAGAAUUCCACGUGUAGCAGUGAAAUGCGUAGAGAUGUGGAGGAACACCGAUGGCGAAGGCAGCCCCCUGGGUCAAAACUGACGCUCAUGCACGAAAGCGUGGGGAGCAAACAGG